AAGAGCUCAGAAACAAAAUGGAUUUUCAGGCUCAAAUUUUGAGCUUGCUGCUGGUCAGUGUCACAGUGUCCAAUGGACAAACUGUGCUCACCCAGUCUCCAGAAUCCCUGGCUGCUUCCCCAGGGGACAGGGUCACCAUCACCUGCACGGCAAGCUCCAGUAUAAGCACCAGUGGGUUGCACUGGUACCAACAAAAGCCAGGAGCCUCUCCCAAGCUCUUGGUAUAUGGCACCUCCAAACUGGCCUCUGGAGUCCCAGCUCGCUUCAGUAGAAGUGGAUCAGGGACCUCUUACUCUCUCACAAUCAGCAAUGUGGAGGCUGAAGAUGCUGCAAUCUAUUACUGUCAGCAGGGUAGUAGCUAUCCAUCCACACAGUGCUACACACUGCAACAAAAACCCCUUCAGCUCCUCAGAGACCAGCUGCUUCCACCUGAGUGGCUGGGACCUGACAGGGGUUUUACAUGUGAGUGA